ACGGCGGUUGAGCCUGAAAGCAGGCUUCGCAACAAUGGAAUCAACUGUAAACAACUGGACUUGGGCGGAGGCUGGACGGGGCCGCUGCGCGUUGGGGAGUUCUUUGCCUCUCGCCUUCGUCCCUUAAUUCCGUAUAACAGGACACCUCGGCGGCCGUUAUCCCUUACAUUUCAACUUAAAGAAACAACAUGUAACACUGACAGCAAGUGUUUUUUACUCAUCUAUGACAGUGAACUGAAUGAGGUGCCAGGUGAUCUAAUUGAGAUCAUCAGGGGUAAAUUCAGUCACUGAGCACUGCUGGAAAUGGAUGUUAUUCAUGUCACAGUAGAUGCUUCUCUAUGACAUUGGAGCUAGCUUUGGAUCGUCUGAGCUUGUCGCUGCUAUUGUGAAGAAGACAAAGCUCAAGGAUGUAGCAUUAGGUGACAGAUGGAUGGUAAACAACCAGCUGGAAAAAAGUAAGAGGCAAAAUCCCCAGAUGUAAUGGUAAGAGAGGCAGAGCUACUGGUUGGCACGAAGGUAUGCCAUAUGAGCUCCUCACUAACAACUGUAAGCAUUUUGUAACCAAUUUGUGCUAUGGCAUACCAGAAUCCAGGCAGGUGAGAUGAAAGUGCGACUCCCACAGUGAAUCUGAAGAGCAUUAACAAAGUGAAUGAUUGUCUAACCAUGUGUGUAUGUCUAACCAUGCUGUGUAUGUCUUUCU